UUGUCUGGUAGUGCAAAAAAGAGAUUCCGAUUGGAAGAAUCCCAGAAAUUAAGUUUUGAAUCAAGGGAACUGGAGAGGUCAACUUUUGAUUCUUUGGAGUGGAGGAGACAGGGGGUUCUUCCAUGGGUCUUUUACCUAGGGAUGUUUCUCCUAAGGUUUGAGAAUGAUCGGAAAAAUCCGCCUGAGAAGAGGCAAACCCUUAGAGUGAUCGGACCCUAGGUCUACCUAUUCAGGGAAUAGAGAAGGGGGUUUCCCUUGGAGUGGGUUCUCUUUCUAGUGGAGGCAGAAUGGGUUUUGCAUUGUUUAGCCAUUGUAGGAGGUUGGUGGUGAAGCAAGAUUUUAAAGAAG
rnacentral:lncRNA from 1 species